rnacentral:rRNA from 1 species
AUGGAGGACGCCGUCUCCAUCAGGCCCGGUUUCUUGCCCGGCUCCGGCAAGUCCCACUUCUUCGGCGUCUUCGAUGGCCACGGCUGCUCACACGUGGCGACGACGUGCCAGGAGCUGAUGCAUGAGGCGGUGGCGGAGGAGCACGAGAAGGAAGGGUCCGGCGAGGAGCCUGUAUGGAAAGAGGUGAUGGAGAGGAGCUUCGCACGGCUAGACGAGCGGGCCGCGAACUGGGGGACCACCCGCAGCAGCGAGGAGCCUGCCUACCGCUGCGAGCAGAAGAUGCCCUCGCGGUGCGACCAUGUGGGAUCCACCGCCGUCGUGGCCGUCGUCAGCCCGACCCAGCUCAUCGUGGGCAACGCCGGCGACUCCCGUGCCGUCCUUUCCUGCGCCGGCGUCCCCGUUGCGCUCUCCGUCGACCACGAGCCAAAGUACACGCCGCCGAGCAAGAGGCUCAGAGCUAGCGGCUCCGGCGAUGGGACGAUCGUCGUGGCCGCGCCAACGAGGAGCGUCGGAGUGCCGAUUCAGUACCCGCAGCUGACUGAAAGCAAUUAUCAGUUGUGGGCGGCGAAGAUGAAGAUCAUCCUCAAGCCAAUGGGCGUGUGGUCGGCGACUGGCCCGAUAUAUGGGCCUAUCGGCCGAAUAAUUUGGCCCAGUUUGAAUUUUUUUUUGACCGGCCCAGCUUCCAGAGCCUUCCAGCUGAGACAAAACCACGAAACCGAAACAGCCAACCCUAGAAUCGCUCGUUUCCUGUCCCUCCUCCUGUGUGCGGCGCCGUCGCUGCGCACAGGCCACAUCUCCUCGCCCUCCUCCACAUCUUCGGCCAAAGCGCUCACUUCUCCGGCCCUCCUCCACAUCUCCUCGCCUCCACCCCAUCCACUUCCUGUCCAAGACUGUGGCAACGGAGCUCGGCGGUUGCGGCCCUUCUCCAAGACUGCAGCGUGGUGCUCGGCGGCUGCGGCAACGGAGCUGAUGGAGCGCGAGCCGACCAGUUCAACGGAGGCGGUAGCACGGGGCAGCGGCAGCAGCAUGGAGGGCGUCCGCUUGACUGGAAAGGUACAAAUGUUCUUGAUGCAGUUUCAGUACGUGUAUGCAGUUUCAGUCUUCAGCAAUUUGUCUCGUCCAAAUUUAGGAGAGGUCCCUGGUAAAUGGCUCGGCAAAUGCAUAUAUCAUACGGGGUUAAGAAAAAAGAAAGUAUUCGUUGAUAGUGAGAGUGAGGAUAAUGAUGGGGUGAGUGAGGAUGGGGAAGAUGCUCCAUCCAUGCAUGAUCAGCAAGAGGCGCAAAUGCAAGUGGAAAAAGAGACACAAAUUCAAGUGGAAAAGGACGCACCACCAACAGAUGGCAAUUUGGAGACCCGUAGAUCUGUACGGCUUGUCAAGAAGAAGACCAAGGGCGUCAACAGCCUAUACCCGCUGCUUAGAAAUCUGCUGGCAAGGCAAGGUUUUGGUUACCGGUCGAAAUUUCAAGAUUUUCCAUGGUCGGCGAUCACCGGAGAAGACGUCGACGAGGCCAAGGAUCAGGGAGCCAUGGCUGCUAUCUCGCAGUCUGUUCCAGACGACAUGAUGAUGUCGAUCGUGGAAUACGAGUCGGCGAAGGAGGCUUGGGAGGCCAUCCGCACCAUGCGUAUCGGUGAUGAGCGCGUUGUGCAGGCACGCAUCAGUCACCUCACAAGGCGUUUUGAGCACCUGACAAUGGAAGGAGUUGAAGACGUCGGUCCAUUCGGGCGCCGGCUCACCGCGCUCGUCGGAGAAAUUCGAGCGCUUGGCGAGAACUUGCAGGAGCACGCUGUUGUAAAGCGGCUGUUCGCAGCGGUCCCGGAUUGCUUCCUGCCGAUAAUCGGGACAAUCGAGCAAUGGGGCGACGUCAAGAAGAUGUCGGUCGCCGAGGCCAUUGGGCGGCUACAGGCGUUCGAGGAGAACGAGUCUGGGCGGCGCCAAGACCGUGGCGACGACGGCGAGAAGUUGAUGCUGGUCUCACGCGCGCAGCUGGAAGCACUGAAAAAGCCUCGCGGCAAGUUCGACAAGUCGAAGAUUACCUGCUUCGAGUGUGGGGAGAAAGGACACUUUAAGUCGGAGUGUGAGGCGUUGAAGAAAGAGAAGGCGCUCCUUGCAGCUGCCGACGUCGACUACGAGCCGGGGUUGCUGAUGGCGGUGGCAUGUGAGCUUGCACAGGGGCCGGAGGAGCAGGUCGCGGACGCCGUCGAGCCAGAAGGUAUCAAGGUGAAGGAGGCUGAGGAGUUGGUGCAUGCUAGUGAGGAGAAGGCCAAGUUCUUGGAGAUGCAGCGCGUGAUCUGUGAUGAGAACGCGCGGCUCUGGGGUCUGGUGAUGCAUACUGCUGCAGCGCCCGUUCAAGUCAAGGCAGAGCCGGCCAUAGGGAGUGCAGGAACCGCGGCAGCAACGCCACAAGCGGACAGGGUGCCCAUGACAGCUGAGGUGACAUUACCGGUACUGGCACCGGCGAGCGCGACACCGGCCAUGACUACACUCGGCAUGGAGAAGCCGGGAGUGAAGCUCAAUGGUAAGAAGUCUCAUACUGAAAUGAUGCAGAUCAUGGAUGAAGCUAGUGAACUUCUGAAGAAAGGCAAUGACUUCCUCUCGCUGAAUGAGGAGAACGUUAAGCCUUUGUUGAGUAUGGAUGGAUCAGCUGAUGCAUGGUGGCUUGAUAGUGGUGCUAGUAACCACAUGACUGGUUCACGGUGCAAAUUCAAGGAGAUGGAUGAAAGCAUCCGUGGCCAUGUGAAGCUCGGAGAUGGGUCUACUGCUCUGAUUAAAGGGAAAGGUUCAGUCAUGGUUGAAUGCAAGAGUGGUGAGCAGGUGCAUCUGAUGGAGGUAUAUUUUGUACCAAGUUUACCUAGUAACAUAAUUAGUCUUGGUAAGCUGGCAGAGGAUGGCAAUCGUGUAGUGCUAGAUGGUACAUUCCUGUGGACUAGAGGCCGGUCUGGGAAGACAGUUGUUGGUGCUGCUCAUGUGUCAUCAAGAAAACAGAGCCGAGAAGCUCUCAGACUCCAGCAGCAGCAGCUUGAGAUGGAGAUGCCAUCAGUGAACGGGGGUGUCACCCACCGUGGCGUCAGUUUGUUAGCCACGAGCCGUAACUUGUGCGAGCCGUGCAUGCAUUUGCAUGGGCCUGAGAUGCAUCAGUUUGCAUUGGGCCGUUUCCUUCAGUCUAGCAUCGCGUGGCCGCCACUGCCCUGCCGAUGGCCAUGUCCAUCCUCUGCACCCGAGACCGCCAAGCCUAUUGCGGGCCUGCGCGAGCCCGCGCCACGUGUACGCCGUCGCACCCUGUGCUCAUCGUCCCUGAGCUCCCGCACCCGAACUCACGAGGAGAGCCGCAGCGCGUGCUUCUCCUCUCGAUCCAGCACGUGA